rnacentral:lncRNA from 1 species
ACGGAACGUAAAUAUGUUAUACAAAUGUCCGGUGUCCGUCCGUCUGUGCGUCCGUCUAUCCGUCUGUCCGUCUGUCUGUCCGGCGUAAACAUGUCGCACCGUAACUUGAGAACGACUUAUCCAAAUUUCAUGAAACUUAUUAUAGUUGUUUCUUAUGAUGGUCAAAUGAUCUGUAUACUUUUUGGUGAAAAUAAGAUUAAAACUUUUUGAGUUACGGCACUUUGUAACUAAAACAGGGGUGUGUUUUUUUUCACAUGUCGCACCGUAUAUCAAAAAUGACUUUUGAUUAUUGCUUAAAACUUUACACACUUCUUAGUUAUAUUAAUCUUAAGAUCUGUAUACUUUUUGGUGAUGAUUCAAAAUUCCAUUUUUGAGUUAUUGAGUAUUUUGUAAAAAAAGGGGGAGGGUUUUUUACAUGUCGCGCCGUAUCUCAAAAAUGGUUUAUGAUUAUUGCUUAAAACUUUACACAC